UACGGAGGAUCCGAGCGUUAUCCGGAAUUAUUGGGUUUAAAGGGUGCGUAGGCGGCCAUUUAAGUCAGCGGUGAAAUUUUGCAGCUUAACUGUAACAGUGCCGUUGAUACUGUUUGGCUAGGAUUUGGUUGUAGUGUGCGGAAUGUGUGGUGUAGCGGUGAAAUGCUUAGAUAUCACACAGAACACCGAUUGCGAAGGCAGCACACUAAGUCAUUAUUGACGAUGAGGCACGAAAGUGUGGGGAUCAAACAGGAUUAGAUACCCCU
rnacentral:rRNA from 1 species